UAAGCACUCUUUUACUGUGAAACUGCGAAUGGCUCAUUAAAUCAGUUAUCGUUUAUUUGAUAGUACCCUACUACAUGGAUACCUGUGGUAAUUCUAGAGCUAAUACAUGCGCAAAACCCCGACUUCGGAAGGGGUGUAUUUAUUAGAUAAAAAACCAAUGCCCUUCGGGGCUCCUUGGUGAUUCAUAAUAACUUCACGAAUCGCAUGGCCUUGCGCCGGCGAUGGUUCAUUCAAAUUUCUGCCCUAUCAACUUUCGAUGGUAGGAUAGUGGCCUACCAUGGUGGCAACGGGUAACGGGGAAUUAGGGUUCGAUUCCGGAGAGGGAGCCUGAGAAACGGCUACCACAUCCAAGGAAGGCAGCAGGCGCGCAAAUUACCCAAUCCCGAUACGGGGAGGUAGUGACAAUAAAUACUGAUACAGGGCUCUUUUGGGUCUUGUAAUUGGAAUGAGAACAAUCUAAAUCCCUUAACGAGGAACAAUUGGAGGGCAAGUCUGGUGCCAGCAGCCGCGGUAAUUCCAGCUCCAAUAGCGUAUAUUAAAGUUGUUGCAGUUAAAAAGCUCGUAGUUGAACCUUGGGCCCGUCCUGCCGGUCCGCCUCACCGCGAGUACUGGUCCGGAUGGGCCUUUCUUUCUGGGGAAUCCCAUGGCCUUCACUGGCUGUGGCGGGGAACCAGGACUUUUACUGUGAAAAAAUUAGAGUGUUCAAAGCAGGCCUUUGCUCGGAUACAUUAGCAUGGAAUAAUAGAAUAGGACGUGCGGUUCUAUUUUGUUGGUUUCUAGGACCGCCGUAAUGAUUAAUAGGGAUAGUCGGGGGCGUCAGUAUUCAGCUGUCAGAGGUGAAAUUCUU
rnacentral:rRNA from 1 species